CCACUCCUGCAUAGGGAGACUUGCUCGGGAGAGGGGUGGCGCCGUGCUAAUUAGUUCAGGUUAAUGCGAAUCGAAUCCGGGGCAAACUGCUAUGUGCGGAACUGUGUGGUUCUAAUACUGACGCAUCUUCAGAGAGGAAAAAAAGGUCACGCUUAGAACUGUUGGAAACUGUGGGGUUUCCCUGAUCUAAGAGACAGCUGGAGAUACUGAAAUUUGAACCUGGAUCCUUCCGCAUGUCGAGCAGAUCCUCUACCGCUGACCCUCUGCCCCUC